CCUUUGGUGGUUCAAUGGUAAAAUGUUUGUUUUUUCACAUAAGAUGCCUAGGUUCAAAUCCUAGUAGAGUA